GUGGUCUUUCCAUCUCUUAUUCCAUACCUGACGUGUCUUUCCUGGCUCAUCCCACUCUUGUCUUUUCUCUGUCCCAGGAUGUCCCUUGCAGCGAAGAAUGUGAUGAGGUGGCUCUGCAGCCCCUGCACCUCUGCUAUUUACUCAGCCAAGAAGAGCCAGACACCCACGCGAUGGCUGCUGUGGGACAAAAAGCAGGGGGAUCAAGCCUGGAAAGUCCAGGCCUCUGUGAGGGGACUACAGAGUCAUAUUCCACAAACCUAGACUCCCUCCUGAAGAAAGCUUGGGAAGAACAGGGCAACUCGGGACUGGAUCCAAAGCAGCUGCACUGCCAACAAGGAGAGCUGCUCGGGAGAAGCAGCAGAAAGGCGACUCGGGUAGGGAGUACUCAUUCUGUUGGCUUGGAGCCUUGCUCAGGAUUUCAGAAAGACGUGGUCGUCCAGCUGGGAUCCAGCCUGAAGUGUUUCAGGCCCAAGCUGGAACCGUCACUGCCGUAGAGGUCACCCUGGAAGAAGGAAAUUGAUAGCGGUGUUGACCAGCGAAGACGCAGCUGCUGCCAGCCCCCGGCCAGUCCUCGCGGCAGUGCCUGCGCCCCGUACGCGGGCUGAGCCCACCACCGCUAUCUGUCCCCCGCUGCCUUGCGCGGGUUUGGCGUUUCUGCUGCCUCUCCCUUUUUUCGGAGGUGGCCUCCCUCUAGACUGCUGUAGUUGAAAUCUCAACAGCCAGAGGCUGUUUUUCCUGCGUCCAGCCCGCCAACCUGGAUCUCCAUGAGCUGCCAGUAGGACCUCGUCUCCUCCCCACUUCAGGAAGGAAGGCAUUUUAAGUAAGCCGAGGUUCAAUAUGGGACAGGAAACAGAUGAAAGAAGAAAGCACCCUUACACUCCGCAUGAAACUGUGGUAAAAGUAUAUUGAACGAAAGAGUAACUACAGGAAAAAAAAAAAUCUUCUGCAUUGCCUAAUCUUCUUCAACAUUCAACUUGCUAAAAAAAAAUCACUGAUAUUAUACUAUAGCUGCAAUACUUUUGUACAACUGGCCGUAAUUAUCUGACACUCGCUUGGUCAAAUUGAGAAAAUCUAUGAAAUAUAUAUGAAAACAUUUUGCAAUAUACAGAUAAUAACCUCGCCCUUUAGACCUGUGCUUGCAGAGAUAAUGAUUUGGGGUUUGCUAAACAUUUCGCUCAUGUUUCAAACUUCUGCAAGCUGUUUUUCUUCUACGGAGGAGCUUGCAAGUGUCAGCAGUGUCUCUAUGUCUCAUUACAGGGAAGGAGCGCAGUCAGGCCCGAGGUAUGUAAUCUGAAGCUAUUUAAAUAAAAUGUGAAUGGGGGAGUGAUUUGAGUGGCUG
rnacentral:lncRNA from 1 species